UGGUUCUGGCAUCGAUGAAGAACGCAGCGAAAUGCGAUACGUAAUGUGAAUUGCAGAAUUUAGUGAAUCAUCGAAUCUUUGAACGCACAUUGCGCUCCCCAGUAUUCUGGAGAGCAUGCCUGUUCGAGCGUCAUUUCAACCCUCAAGUCUUAGUUACUUGGUGUUGGGGCCCGCUGUGGCGAGCCCCCAAACCCUUUGGCAGAGCUGGUUAGCAGUCUGAGCGUAGUAAAUCAACCUCGCUUCUGAAGGCCUCCAGCCCCUAGCCGUAAAAACUCACCAAUAUCAAAGUUUGACCUCGGAUCAGGUAGGAAUACCCGCUGA
rnacentral:misc_RNA from 1 species